GCACAACGCGAAGAACCUUACCUACUCUUGACAUCCAGAGAACUUGCCAGAGAUGGCUUGGUGCCUUCGGGAACUCUGAGACAGGUGCUGCAUGGCUGUCGUCAGCUCGUGUUGUGAAAUGUUGGGUUAAGUCCCGCAACGAGCGCAACCCUUAUCCUUUGUUGCCAGCGGUUCGGCCGGGAACUCAAAGGAGACUGCCAGUGAUAAACUGGAGGAAGGUGGGGAUGACGUCAAGUCAUCAUGGCCCUUACGAGUAGGGCUACACACGUGCUACAAUGGCGUAUACAAAGAGAAGCGACCUCGCGAGAGCAAGCGGACCUCAUAAAGUACGUCGUAGUCCGGAUUGGAGUCUGCAACUCGACUCCAUGAAGUCGGAAUCGCUAGUAAUCGUAGAUCAGAAUGCUACGGUGAAUACGUUCCCGGGUCUUGUACACACCG
rnacentral:rRNA from 1 species